AUGCAUGUAACUGCUAGAUAUUUACAUAUUCAGAAACAACCUUAUAUGAUGCUUUCCGAAAUGGUAAAAAUGUCUUUGAAUGCCUGUCUAGUGCAACACGUGUCUGCCAGCUGGAUAACAUCGCACAACAAGCUUUGUGCACAAGCUGUCAUCAUCCAGCCAUUCUCAAGACUAAUAUGGCGAUGCCUUAAGGGGCUUUUAAUGCCAUGGGAUUAUACUAUGGCCUUGAUGUUGCUGUUUUCCCGACAGCAACAAUGGUGGUUUACAACCAGGCCACAAGCCCGCAAUGCUAAUGUUUGUUGCAGCAGCAGCAGUGUUAGCUUCUCUCCAUCAUUGCUCGCUGCUGAGCCCUUAUGUGGCUGCACCAGCAGCGUUCCUGGUUGGAGCAACGAUGUGAAGCUGCAUGGGUCCAUUUCACUUACCCUUGUGGAUAACGUGGCUCAUUUUGAAGUUACUUUUGUGCUAGCACAAUCUAACUAG
rnacentral:rRNA from 1 species